UACGUAGGGCGCAAGCAUUAAUCGGAUUUACUGGGCGUAAAGGGUGCGUAGGCGGAGAAGAAAGUCAGUUGUGAAAUUUCAGGGCUCAACCCUGAAGCGGCAGCUGAUACUACUUCUCUAGAGGAUAGGAUGGGAAAGGGGAAUUCCACAUGUAGCGGUGAAAUGCGUAGAUAUGUGGGGGAACACCGGUGGCGAAAGCGCCUUUCUGGCCUAUUCCUGACGCUGAUGCACGAAAGCAAGGGGAGCAAACAUG
rnacentral:rRNA from 1 species